UUGAAAUCCCGUUUUUUAUCACAUAUUCCCAUCUUGCAUCUUCAAAUUCGUCCAGACGGCAGAUUCCAGACUCCAUCUUCACGCCGUCAUCUUGCUUCUUCUUCACCAUUCACGUUGAGACGUUGACAAGAAUCCAGACCACUGCAAUUCUUCUUCUUCACCGUUUUUAAUUGGGUUUCGGGGGUGAUAAGAGGGUGAAGGCUUGGAGAAAUGGCCUAAAACCCCUAAAGAAGUCAAGAAAUCGAGCCAAACAAGCCCCAAGGGAAAGAAAUGAUUCGUACCUAAGCCGUGUUAAAAAGCCACGACCCGUUGCAAAGCAAUUGGAGUCUUGAGGCAAAACGACGAGUCGUCCCCAACUUGCCACGACUCGUCGCAUAGUUACUGAUCUAAGCAGAGCAAUCCAAAGACAAAUUGAUGAGUCAUCCCCAAUUUGCCACGACUCGUCGCAUACUCACUGAAGUCACAUAUUCCAGGCAGAACAAAAGCGAUGACUCGUCGCACCUCUAGUGAGUAGUUUUCCUUUCUAGGGUUAAGGGAUAAACCCUAAUUCGAAGCAUGAAAUGAUAUUUUAUCGGUUAUUUGUGGGAAAUUUGAGUCUAUGAUUAAACCUAUGCUUAAUGAAUCUUAGUUUAAAUAUCUUUAUUAACCUUUUCAAUAAAACGGAAGUUUGAGAUUAGGAUUAAUUUAGGAUUGAGAUAUAUUUAAGUUAAAUUCCUACUAGUUUAGCCAAUAAUAGAAAAGUUUGAGGAUUAACACUAGUAAGGUCUUAAAACGAAAGGCGAUAUUGAUUAAUAGAGCGGAAGCUUGAGAUUAAUUAGAUCACGUUUAAUUAUGCCAAAGACUCAAAUUCAUACAAUUAUGAGAGUAAUUCACUCCCAUAUUAGAAAUUACGUGAUUCACGACACCCUAAAUUUGUCAUAUUAUUAUCUUCGUAUUAAUUAUUGUCUUAACUGUAAUUAUUAGUUCUACUUGCAUUAAUUUAGUUAUUGCCUACAGUAGUAUUAGUUUCUCAACCCAACUACUUGUUGAUCCGUGUCUCGUAGUCAUAAAUCGAACAAAUUAGUUAACUCGCUUCCCUGAGUUCGACCCGUAUUGCUAAUUUAACAGUAUGGUGACAGUAGGAAGUAGGCUAAUUUUCGUUUUCAUACUUCAUUUUUUUGUGCUUAACAUUAGGACUCCUAUUUUCUCAUCCGAAUUCGUGGCCUUCUCUAAUGAUGUAGGGCCCAAAACCAUGAAGUUUCCCAUAUCUUCAUUCAAUCUAUAAAUGAAGGCCCUCAACAACAUGGGCUCUGGAAAUCUUUCCGAGGAGAUGCUCUCUCUAUAAACACUCUCUUAUACUCAUCAUUUAAACAGUAACCGUUUCUCGUAGAGUGAUCUCUGAAUUAUGGAUCUAAAGUGUUUCAGAAUUAGUGCCUUCCAACACCUACUACGUGGUGAUUAGUGUUCUUGGUUUUCUUAUUUAAACCACAACAAGACAUCCCCAUUUAAACUCACCACAUUCUCAUCAAUCUUCUCUUCUUCACUUACCCUAUGAAAUACAAAUUGAGGAAGAAAAUCCCUCCAUAUCUUCCCUCCUCUAACUUUGUACACAAACAAAGAAAAUCUCAGCCAUUCAAAUCCCUUUCCUUCCCUUCCCUUACCUUCCAUCCAUUCACACCCUUAAUCUUUUGCGUUCCCUGUCAUAGUCUUACAUGGGAAAAAUAUGAGCCUUCCUCCUGUAAAACAAAAAAGGUAGGUAGUGUGUUAUGGAUCCCAUUUGUUUUUCCAUUUUGUGAAGUUUUGUGGGUAAUAAAGCUAACGACAGAAAAAAAAAUUGGGUAGUAAAGAAAAAUGAAGAAAGGUUAAAAUUUUGUGCAUAUUAGAACGAUAUGAGCAAAUAGAGAGAGUAUGAUUGAGACCCACUUUUGUGACAUCUCCAUAUGAUUAUCAUUAAGUAUGAUUGAGACCCUCUUUUGUGACAUCUUCAUAAUUAAGGAAACAUUAACCAUAAUGAUCCAACCUUUUUCUUGAUUUCCUUACAAUAGUCCUGCAUCUUGAUAAAUUGAUUGAUAAUGAAUAAUCCAAACUAGUCAUUUCGCCCAAAAAAAGUAAAACAAAAUUUUGAAAAAGAGGAAAAAGAACAACCUCACCCCUCCCCUUAUUUCAACAUCGGCGCAAUCCCCUUCCCCCUCUCCUUGCACCGUCCACAACCUUUCUCCCUCUUACCAGCGAACGAAACUUUCUCCAGCCAUUCCCCCAAUUCCGAAGAGCCCCCCUCCCUUUCCCAGCCCCAACGGCACUCCCUCCCCAACCUUCGUCAAACACUUAACAACAAUAAUCCAAUGUCGUGGAUAAGGUGCGCGACUAGAGUGAUGGUUGAAGUGAGGCUAUUGAUUUUAAUGGUGUUUAGGGUUUAAGGUUUCUUCGGGGUAGUGGUUGUGGUAGGGUGGUUUUAGGGUUUAGGGUUUGGAGAUAUGUGGAGCUGGGUUUUAGGGAGGGCUAAUUUUAUUUAAGUUAUUUUUUUUAAGUUACCUUUUAAUUUUUUAAAUUUUUAUUUCACUUUUCUUUUUAAUUUAGGUAAUUAACCUAGUAUAACAAGUCACCAAUAAUACUAGUUGUGUUAUGAGUAAACGCGCUCAAAGUUCGGAUUAAUUAUGAUUAAUAAAUAUGUGAGAUUAUUGUUAGAAAAUCAAGAAAAUGGUGGAUUAUCAACGUAAUUUUUUCUAUAAUUAAUUAAUUGAAGAUGCUAAAUUUUGAGAUCUCUAAGAACAUUUGUUCCUCCAAUUGUGUUCAUUAGCAUCUUCCGAUCACGAUAAACUUGCAUCUUCCUCCGAUACAACUCUCAACUUUCUAGGAAAACAAUCUUGAUUCUUAUGGUUGUGGUUAAUAAAUAUUGUUUUGUUCUUGUUCCAUCUUCUUGAAUUCCUGUGAACACUCAAGGUUCAUAAUUUGCUUUACAAUCCUACACUAACAUCACACAAAGAACAAUCACCUCAUUAGUGUUUAAACUUGUGUUAAAAGUUAUGUAGUGAUAAAGAUACUUCCUCCUUCCCAAUUUUAUAGCUACAUUUGAGAUUUUUAACGUUAUUAAGAAUAAUGUUUUUUGUUUGUUAGUGGUAGUAAAAUCAAAUGGUUAAGAUUAAGAAAGAGAAAGAAAAAGAUGAAAUAAGUGGUCGAUAAUGUGGGUAAGUGGUAGGUGGAAGGUGGGAUCCAUACUUAAAAAAGGAAAUAUAGCUAAUAAGUUGGAACAUCCUAAUAAGGAAAGUGGAGCUAACAAUUUGGGACAAGGGAAGCAAAAGAGUCCGGGAUUGUACCAUCAAAAAAAGAUGAGUGAAGUUUUAAUUGGGAAUUUAUGUAAGAAUGGGAUCAAACUCCUUGUUAAUCAUAGUUUCUUUUGCUCGAGCAUUAGUAUCUUUGGACCUUCAACCAAAUACUGUUGUUUUUCUAGGCCC